rnacentral:rRNA from 1 species
UUGCUUUCGAGUGGGCGUCCGACCGGCGCGACGGGUGAGUAACGCGUAUACCCAACCUGACCCAUCACUUGGAGAUAACCUUGCGAAAGUAAGACUAAUACCCAAUGAUAUCUCUAGACGACAUCUGAAAGGGAUUAAAGAUUUAUCGGGUGAUGGAUGGGGAUGCGUCUGAUUAGCUUGUUGGCGGGUAACGGCCCACCAAGGCAACGAUCAGUAGGGGUUCUGAGAGGAAGGUCCCCCACAUUGGAACUGAGACACGGUCCAAACUCCUACGGGAGGCAGCAGUGAGGAAUAUUGGUCAAUGGGCGAGAGCCUGAACCAGCCAAGUAGCGUGCAGGACGACGGCCCUAUGGGUUGUAAACUGUCUUUUAUAAGGGAAUAAAGUGAGUCUCGUGAGUACUUUUUGCAUGUACCUUAUGAAUAAGGACCGGCUUAAUUCCGUG